GGGUUGUGAGGUUAAGCGACUAAGCGUACACGGUGGAUGCCCUGGCAGUCAGAGGCGAUGAAGGACGUGCUAAUCUGCGAUAAGCGUCGGUAAGGUGAUAUGAACCGUUAUAACCGGCGAUUUCCGAAUGGGGAAACCCAGUGUGUUUCGACACACUAUCAUUAACUGAAUCCAUAGGUUAAUGAGGCGAACCGGGGGAACUGAAACAUCUAAGUACCCCGAGGAAAAGAAAUCAACCGAGAUUCCCCCAGUAGCGGCGAGCGAACGGGGAGCAGCCCAGAGCCUGAAUCAGUGUGUGUGUUAGUGGAAGCGUCUGGAAAGGCGCGCGAUACAGGGUGACAGCCCCGUACACAAAAAUGCACAUGCUGUGAGCUCGAUGAGUAGGGCGGGACACGUGGUAUCCUGUCUGAAUAUGGGGGGACCAUCCUCCAAGGCUAAAUACUCCUGACUGACCGAUAGUGAACCAGUACCGUGAGGGAAAGGCGAAAAGAACCCCGGCGAGGGGAGUGAAAAAGAACCUGAAACCGUGUACGUACAAGCAGUGGGAGCACAGAGCAAUCUGUGUGACUGCGUACCUUUUGUAUAAUGGGUCAGCGACUUAUAUUCUGUAGCAAGGUUAACCGAAUAGGGGAGCCGAAGGGAAACCGAGUCUUAACUGGGCGUUAAGUUGCAGGGUAUAGACCCGAAACCCGGUGAUCUAGCCAUGGGCAGGUUGAAGGUUGGGUAACACUAACUGGAGGACCGAACCGACUAAUGUUGAAAAAUUAGCGGAUGACUUGUGGCUGGGGGUGAAAGGCCAAUCAAACCGGGAGAUAGCUGGUUCUCCCCGAAAGCUAUUUAGGUAGCGCCUCGUGAAUUCAUCUCCGGGGGUAGAGCACUGUUUCGGCAAGGGGGUCAUCCCGACUUACCAACCCGAUGCAAACUGCGAAUACCGGAGAAUGUUAUCACGGGAGACACACGGCGGGUGCUAACGUCCGUCGUGAAGAGGGAAACAACCCAGACCGCCAGCUAAGGUCCCAAAGUCAUGGUUAAGUGGGAAACGAUGUGGGAAGGCCCAGACAGCCAGGAUGUUGGCUUAGAAGCAGCCAUCAUUUAAAGAAAGCGUAAUAGCUCACUGGUCGAGUCGGCCUGCGCGGAAGAUGUAACGGGGCUAAACCAUGCACCGAAGCUGCGGCAGCGACGCUUAUGCGUUGUUGGGUAGGGGAGCGUUCUGUAAGCCUGCGAAGGUGUGCUGUGAGGCAUGCUGGAGGUAUCAGAAGUGCGAAUGCUGACAUAAGUAACGAUAAAGCGGGUGAAAAGCCCGCUCGCCGGAAGACCAAGGGUUCCUGUCCAACGUUAAUCGGGGCAGGGUGAGUCGACCCCUAAGGCGAGGCCGAAAGGCGUAGUCGAUGGGAAACAGGUUAAUAUUCCUGUACUUGGUGUUACUGCGAAGGGGGGACGGAGAAGGCUAUGUUGGCCGGGCGACGGUUGUCCCGGUUUAAGCGNNNNNNNNNNNNNNNNNNNNNNNNNNNNNNNNNNNNNNNNNNNNNNNNNNNNNNNNNNNNNNNNNNNNNNNNNNNNNNNNNNNNNNNNNNNNNNNNNNNNAAGGCUGAGGCGUGAUGACGAGGCACUACGGUGCUGAAGCAACAAAUGCCCUGCUUCCAGGAAAAGCCUCUAAGCAUCAGGUAACAUCAAAUCGUACCCCAAACCGACACAGGUGGUCAGGUAGAGAAUACCAAGGCGCUUGAGAGAACUCGGGUGAAGGAACUAGGCAAAAUGGUGCCGUAACUUCGGGAGAAGGCACGCUGAUAUGUAGGUGAAGUCCCUCGCGGAUGGAGCUGAAAUCAGUCGAAGAUACCAGCUGGCUGCAACUGUUUAUUAAAAACACAGCACUGUGCAAACACGAAAGUGGACGUAUACGGUGUGACGCCUGCCCGGUGCCGGAAGGUUAAUUGAUGGGGUUAGCGGUAACGCGAAGCUCUUGAUCGAAGCCCCGGUAAACGGCGGCCGUAACUAUAACGGUCCUAAGGUAGCGAAAUUCCUUGUCGGGUAAGUUCCGACCUGCACGAAUGGCGUAAUGAUGGCCAGGCUGUCUCCACCCGAGACUCAGUGAAAUUGAACUCGCUGUGAAGAUGCAGUGUACCCGCGGCAAGACGGAAAGACCCCGUGAACCUUUACUAUAGCUUGACACUGAACAUUGAGCCUUGAUGUGUAGGAUAGGUGGGAGGCUUAGAAGUGUGGACGCCAGUCUGCAUGGAGCCGACCUUGAAAUACCACCCUUUAAUGUUUGAUGUUCUAACGUGGACCCGUGAUCCGGGUUGCGGACAGUGUCUGGUGGGUAGUUUGACUGGGGCGGUCUCCUCCUAAAGAGUAACGGAGGAGCACGAAGGUUGGCUAAUCCUGGUCGGACAUCAGGAGGUUAGUGCAAUGGCAUAAGCCAGCUUGACUGCGAGCGUGACGGCGCGAGCAGGUGCGAAAGCAGGUCAUAGUGAUCCGGUGGUUCUGAAUGGAAGGGCCAUCGCUCAACGGAUAAAAGGUACUCCGGGGAUAACAGGCUGAUACCGCCCAAGAGUUCAUAUCGACGGCGGUGUUUGGCACCUCGAUGUCGGCUCAUCACAUCCUGGGGCUGAAGUAGGUCCCAAGGGUAUGGCUGUUCGCCAUUUAAAGUGGUACGCGAGCUGGGUUUAGAACGUCGUGAGACAGUUCGGUCCCUAUCUGCCGUGGGCGCUGGAGAACUGAGGGGGGCUGCUCCUAGUACGAGAGGACCGGAGUGGACGCAUCACUGGUGUUCGGGUUGUCAUGCCAAUGGCACUGCCCGGUAGCUAAAUGCGGAAGAGAUAAGUGCUGAAAGCAUCUAAGCACGAAACUUGCCCCGAGAUGAGUUCUCCCUGACUCCUUGAGAGUCCUGAAGGAACGUUGAAGACGACGACGUUGAUAGGCCGGGUGUGUAAGCGCAGCGAUGCGUUGAGCUAACCGGUACUAAUGAACCGUGAGGCUUAACCUUACAACGCCGAAG
rnacentral:rRNA from 1 species